UGAGGCGGGCGGAGGAGCCAUGGCCGGGGCGGGCGGGUGCUGCCCGCUCUCCGUCUCCGCCCUCGGGGAGGGGGAGCGCGGUGCCGGGGCGAGCAGCGGGUGAUGGGGAAGAGGCGAGCGCAGUGCUGAGGUCCUUGGGGCCGGAUGAGCCGAGGCUUGACUCCCCGGCGGUGGCGGAGCUGGAGGAGGGGGCGAAGGAGGCUGUAGGGGCGGCCCCCGCUCCGGCUGCCCUGAGGGGAAAGAACCCCCGACCAUGGAAAUCGAGAACAUCGUGGCCAACACGGUGCUGCUGAAAGCCCGGGAGGGCAAACGGAGUGGGCGUAGUAAAAAAUGGAAAGAGAUGCUGAAGUUGCCCCCUGUCAGUCACUGUGAGGGUAUUCGGUGCUCCAUCGAGAGAGACUAUAACCAGCUUUGUGACAAACAGCCAAUAGGAAGACUUCUCUUCAGACAGUUCUGUGAUUCCAGACCAGACUUGAAAAGAUGCAUUGAAUUUCUGGAUGCAGUGGCAGAAUAUGAGGUAUCUUCAGAUGAAAAGCGCAUAGACUGUGGCCUCAAAGUUUUAGAGACGUACUUCACUAAUGGGUCUGCAGCACACUUGCCAGAAAUACCUCAGGAAACAGUAAAUGAAUGUAAAGCAAGACUAGAAAAGAACCCUUCUAAGGAUCUUUUCAUGGACUGUACUAGAAUUGUCCAUGAAUACCUAAGCAAAAGACCUUUUGAAGCUUACCAGGAGAGUGUGUAUUUUUCCCGUUUCUUACAGUGGAAAUGGCUGGAAAAGCAGCCAGUAACCAAACACACGUUUAGGCAUUACCGAGUACUAGGCAAAGGUGGAUUUGGAGAGGUGUGUGCCUGUCAAGUACGGGCAACAGGAAAAAUGUAUGCUUGCAAAAAGCUGGAAAAAAAGAGAAUAAAGAAGAGGAAAGGAGAAUCAAUGGCUCUAAAUGAAAAAAGGAUUCUAGAAAAAGUGAAUAGUAGGUUUGUAGUUAGUUUAUCCUAUACAUAUGAGACGAAAGAUGCCCUGUGUUUAGUAUUAACCAUAAUGAAUGGAGGGGAUCUGAAGUUUCACAUAUAUAACAUGGGAAAUCCUGGCUUUGAUGAAGAAAGGGCUAUUUUCUAUGCUGCAGAACUGUGCUGUGGUCUGGAGGAUUUGCAAAGGGAGAGAAUUGUUUACAGAGACUUGAAGCCUGAGAAUAUACUUCUUGAUGACUGUGGACAUAUCAGGAUUUCAGAUCUUGGAUUAGCUGUGCAGAUCCCAGAAGGUGAAACUGUCCGAGGACGUGUUGGGACUGUUGGUUACAUGGCUCCAGAAGUGCUCAAAAACGAAAAGUAUACAUUCAGUCCAGAUUGGUGGGGUCUUGGCUGUUUGAUUUAUGAAAUGAUUGAAGGACAGUCUCCAUUCAGGAAGCAUAAGGAAAGAGUUAAACGGGAUGAGAUUGACCGGAGAGUAAAGGAAGACCAGGAAACAUACUCAGACAAGUUUUCAGAGGAGGCAAAAUCCAUCUGCAGGAUGUUACUUGCUAAAAAUCCAGGGGAACGACUGGGUUGCACUGAAGGAGGAGCUGCUGUUGUAAAGCAACAUCCUAUUUUCAAGAACAUCAACUUCAAGAGGCUGGAAGCUAACAUGUUAGAACCUCCAUUCUUGCCAGAUGUAAGUAGCCACGUGCCGUUUAUUGUAAAGAUGUCCUGGACAUUGAGCAGUUCUCAACAGUAAAAGGAGUGAACCUGGAUACCACAGAUGAUGACUUCUAUUCCAAAUUUGUGACAGGUUGUGUCUCAAUCCCUUGGCAAAACGAGAUGAUUGAAACGGGAUGCUUUGAAGAUAUCAAUGCAUAUGAAAAUGAUGGUACUGUGUCACCGGACAGAGAGAAGUCUCCUAAGCCAAAGAGAGGCUUCUUUCACAGACUUUUUAGUGGAGAGGUCUGCUUUAAAUCUGAUUGCAGUGAUGAUGAGCAGGAGUCCUCCAGACUUUAAAUCAUUUUAUGCUCAUCAGAAAGGAUGAGCAAAUGUUAAAUGUUUUAUAUCUCUGUAGCAAAUUGUAUUAUAUAUAUUUUUUAUCUGAGUUUGAGGAUUUUUGUACAUUUGUACUUCAUUUGUUUUAAGAUGUAUAUUUUCACUAAAGCUUAAUUGUACAAAAAGCAAUGAGUGCCAUUUGAGUGAGUGUGUUUCUGUAUGUAUUUGAUUUAUCUUGAUUAUUUUUUCCCCCAGUGGAAUGAAUCUAGAAAUACUAAAAGGAUUUUAAAGCACAGAGAUAAUAUCUAUGGCAUCACUGUAACUUGACUUCAUAUGCUCCUGGUAAAACUCUUCUUGAUUAUUAGGAUCUUUAUUAGCAGUUUUCUUAACUAUGAAAUUGCUGUACUGAUAAAUUUAACAAUUCUGGUAUUAUCCAGCAGUGUGGCAGUGCUAUUACCUGAUGUAUCUCUCAAGCAACUGCUAAAGAAAAAAAAAUAAUUCAGUGCACUGUGGCCAGCUAUUAGGAAUUGCUCUUUAUUAUCAGGCUCUGUAGAAUCUUUCUCCAUUUCUGUAUAAAGAGAGCUUUGAACAUUUAGCUUAAUCCUGUAACAAGCUGAAGUAUCCCAUUCUUCUCUUUUCUACCCAUCUUACACAUCUUCUCCACAGAGUUUCUUGGCAUGAACCAUGCCAGUUGACCUAUGUCAAAAUUUGAUAACUAUAUUUUGAAAACUUUGUUGAGUUUAUUGAAAGGAUUUCUUUUUACCUGUGGGGACACCCUUUCAUUCUAUUUUCUGUAAAUUAAUUUGUUUUUAACUCCAUGUAGGAUGUUAUGGUUUUAUAAUGGGUUAAAAAACAAAGCAUGGGCUCUUCUUACUAAUGUCCUCUCUGCUUAUGUUGUAAUAUGCAAUGUUCUAGGGUUGACAGCAAUCACUGCCAUUGGGGGAAGGGCAAGGUAGCAUUAAGUAUUGAAUUUAAUUAUGUAAAUAUUUUUUUUCUUAUUUUUAAAACAGAACCAUUAAAACAUGUCUUUAAUGAUUGCCUAAUACAGAUGUGGAGCUGGUAUUGAAGUUUGUUAUGAUUACCUGAUGUUCAUUAGUGAAACUGACAAAAGUUGCUUGAAAGUUAGAAAAAAUUCCAUUCUUUUGGACUCACAGUAGGUCAGACCUUUUGUAAAGUUUCCAGUUAAACUAUUAAUCUGGGUAUGAGAGUCAAUUUAAAGAGCACAUUUCAUUGAGAGCCUCUUCUGUUUUCAAAACUGAGUUGGGUACAUGAAAUAGAACGGAAUGCCCUUGGAGUUGGAGACUUGAUUUUAGUUUCAUGUUUUGUUCUGUAUUCUGAAGAUUUAUCUCAACUGUGUAUGCAUUUUCUUUCCUUUCAAAUCUCUGGGGCACCAACCAGACCACACAUGUACACACAGAGCAACUGAAUAGCCCCCCACCUCAAAAAGGUCUCUCUUGUGAUCUGCAGACCCACUGGAAGAAACUUCAGCUGCUUCAGAGAAACUCGCAAGAUAUAUUUGAUAUUCAAGCCUAUCAUUAGGUUUUAAUCACAAUAUUUGGUCUAUAAAUACAAAGUUUUAAUGGAUUAGAAUUUGAAAAAAUUGGAAAUCCCAGUGUGCUGCAGAACCCUACUGGUGUCUCUCUGAAAUCGUUCCUCUUGGCUACUGUGCCACAGAAAUAAGGAAUGAGGCUAUUUUCCCAUGUUUUCAGUGCAUUUUUCCUCCAGUCUAAAACAGCAUACAAAACAGCAAAAUUACUCUUUUAGAGAGUGCAAAGGGAGAAAUUGGCAGAGGGCGAGAGAGUUUGAAUGAAUUACUGGAAGAUGGUGUGAUGUAAUAGUGAAGGGAUGGGAGGCUUGACAGAAAUAUCUGAAGUAAGGGUGUUGGCUAGAACCAUUAUGUGUGAGACAAUGAGUUGGCAGUCUGACCUGACCCUCUUUAUUUUGUACCACAGCAAUAGAAGAACUCUAAAAAGAUGGGAAUGGAAAAUGGGGAAGUAACAUAAUUGUUUGAUAAAUACCUAUGUGGUUGGAGAAGUCAUCAUUUCUCUGAUUAAGGGGUUUGAAUUUUUAAGAUCUUUGGCUUGCUGUUCUGAGGCAAAGGUGACUGUAUAAAUACCAGACAUACAGGGUGGCAGUCUGGAUUUAAUGUAGAGUAACUUGAAAUUUGGGCAAGAAUACCAUGGACACAAGCUGAAUAAUUUUUAUGAAGAAAAUACAGGGAAUGGUUUUAACAAAUUUUUUAAAAAAUCUGAAAGCCUAUUUAUCAUGUAUUCAGGUUUUCUUUCUAUAUUGGAUGGAGACGAAUCCUAACUUGAAAAAAUAAAACCAACUUCUCUAUUUUGGAGUGUCGAGGCUUAACACAUAUUUUCCAGAUUUCCAGAAUCUGUGAAGAAAGAGGGCUAAAUGAUGAGAAAAGGGAAAUUGUUCCUGAGAAGUGGUUAUUUACAUGUCCACUUCCUUUGACGAAGGAACUCUUUGAAAUAAAGUGAGAAUUUGUUUCUUUUUUUGAAGUUUUACUUAGUUUCAUUUAACAAGUUAUUUCUUAAGUUCAGACUAGUACUAUUGAGUUGUUUUUGAGUGAGUACAUGUUUGCAGGAUUAUGACCUAAAUUCUACUGGGUUUGGGGUUUGUUCGGUUUUUUUUUUUGUUAGUUGAUUGAUUCUUCCCCAGUAGGCUCAAGAUGGCAGUAUUGUACUAUAAUUUUGUCCCUUUUGGCUAGAAAUUCAAACAUAUAAUAAAGAAUAGAUCAUAGCUGAUGUGAAUCCCCUAAAAAAUUAGAAAAAACAAGGAACUGGAAGGAUCAGCAAUCAGCAUAAAGCUUCUUAUACAGUACACGGAGCGGAAGAUGUUAUGCUGUUUAAUCUAAGGUGACUAACAUUGGUUAAAGGUCUUCACAAAGGAGUAUUAGGAGCUUGGAGAUGCAUCUUGAAAGCAGGGGAAGGCUAAGGAGAGGGGAGAACACCUGAAAGCAAAAUAU